CAAUAGCGUAUAUUAAAGUUGUUGCAGUUAAAAAGCUCGUAGUUGGAUUUGUGGUGUACUUUGGCGGCCCGUCACUAUGUGAUGGAGCUUGCUGAAGUCGCCAUCCUUGGGUGGAUCCUGUGUGGCAUUAAGUUGUCGUGCAGGGGAUGCCCAUCGUUUACUGUGAAAAAAUUAGAGUGUUCAAAGCAGGCUUAUGCCGUUGAAUAUAUUAGCAUGGAAUAAUAAGAUAGGACCUUGGUACUAUUUUGUUGGUUUGCGCACCAAGGUAAUGAUUAAUAGGGACAGUUGGGGGUAUUCGUAUUUCAUUGUCAGAGGUGAAAUUCUUGGAUUUUUGAAAGACGAACUACUGCGAANGNAUUUACNAAGGAUGUUUNCAUUA
rnacentral:rRNA from 1 species